rnacentral:rRNA from 1 species
CAGCCGCCACGGGAAUACGAAGGGUGCAAGCGUUACUCGGAAUUACUGGGCGUAAAGCGUGUGUAGGUGGUUGUUUAAGUCUGUCGUGAAAGCCCUGGGCUCAACCUGGGAAUUGCGAUGGAUACUGGGCGACUAGAGUGCGGUAGAGGAUAGUGGAAUUUCCGGUGUAGCAGUGAAAUGCGUAGAGAUCGGGAGGAACAUCAGUGGCGAAGGCGGCCAUCUGGGACAACGCUGACGCUCAUGCACGAAAGCGUGGGGAGCAAACGGGAUUAGAUACCCGCGUAGUCCCUGUCUCUUAUAC